UGGGGAAUAUUGGACAAUGGGCGCAAGCCUGAUCCAGCCAUGCCGCGUGAGUGACGAAGGCCUUAGGGUUGUAAAGCUCUUUUGGCGGGGAAGAUAAUGACGGUACCCGCAGAAUAAGCUCCGGCUAACUUCGUGCCAGCAGCCGCGGUAAUACGAAGGGAGCUAGCGUUGUUCGGAAUCACUGGGCGUAAAGCGCACGUAGGUGGGCAGUUAAGUCAGGGGUGAAAGCCCGAGGCUCAACCUCGGAAUUGCCUCUGAUACUGGCUGUCUAGAGUUCGAGAGAGGUGAGUGGAAUUCCUAGUGUAGAGGUGAAAUUCGUAGAUAUUAGGAAGAACACCGGUGGCGAAGGCGGCUCACUGGCUCGAUACUGACACUGAGGUGCGAAAGCGUGGGGAGCAAACAGGAUUAGAUACCCGUGUAGUCCCUGAGCGGGCUGGCAAGGCGCAU
rnacentral:rRNA from 1 species